UGGAUCCAGACUUUGAUCCUGGCUCAGGAUGAACGCUAGCUACAGGCUUAACACAUGCAAGUCGAGGGGAAACGACAUCGAAAGCUUGCUUUUGAUGGGCGUCGACCGGCGCACGGGUGAGUAACGCGUAUCCAACCUGCCCACCACUUGGGGAUAACCUUGCGAAAGUAAGACUAAUACCCAAUGACGUCUCUAGAAGACAUCUGAAAGAGAUUAAAGAUUUAUCGGUGAUGGAUGGGGAUGCGUCUGAUUAGCUUGUUGGCGGGGUAACGGCCCACCAAGGCGACGAUCAGUAGGGGUUCUGAGAGGAAGGUCCCCCACAUUGGAACUGAGACACGGUCCAAACUCCUACGGGAGGCAGCAGUGAGGAAUAUUGGUCAAUGGACGAGAGUCUGAACCAGCCAAGUAGCGUGCAGGAAGACGGCCCUAUGGGUUGUAAACUGCUUUUAUAAGGGAAUAAAGUGAGAGUCGUGACUCUUUUUGCAUGUACCUUAUGAAUAAGGACCGGCUAACUCCGUGCCAGCAGCCGCGGUAAUACGGAAGGUCCGGGCGUUAUCCGGAUUUAUUGGGUUUAAAGGGAGCGUAGGCCGGAGAUUAAGCGUGUUGUGAAAUGUAGGCGCUCAACGUCUGCACUGCAGCGCGAACUGGUUUCCUUGAGUACGCACAAAGUGGGCGGAAUUCGUGGUGUAGCGGUGAAAUGCUUAGAUAUCACGAAGAACUCCGAUUGCGAAGGCAGCUCACUGGAGCGCAACUGACGCUGAAGCUCGAAAGUGCGGGUAUCGAACAGGAUUAGAUACCCUGGUAGUCCGCACGGUAAACGAUGGAUGCCCGCUGUUGGUCUGAAUAGGUCAGCGGCCAAGCGAAAGCAUUAAGCAUCCCACCUGGGGAGUACAACGGCAACGG
rnacentral:rRNA from 1 species